UGCCUUCCUGGCUGCAAGAAAUUCACUAAAGGAAGCUUUCUUGGCACAUCGUUCCUCAUGCGGAUGCUUCAAGACAGUGGCUUUCACUACUGAAAGGCAACGAGGCACUUGAGAGCAGCCAAGGAAGCCAAAAUAUGAAGUUCUGGGAUUCCCAAAGAAGGAUAAUGCACUGAGGAAAGCCUGAUAUUCUGCACUGCUUCUUCCCUCAAGACAUUUGCUGAUUCAGAAGCCCCGCAUGGAGCAAGAGUCUGAAAAACCAAGUAGAAAGUAGUAGCUAAAAGUACCUGGAAUGCAGGUGGUGCCAUCUUGAAGCAUGAGGUUGAGACCAUGCACUACAGAGCAACCAGGAAUUUUAAAGGUUGAAUUUCUAUGAUUCCGUGCCUGAUCUUUUGUGGUUGAGAGGAGGAACAGAGUGGCUGUCACAGAUUUGGCUCUUCUGUCUGUCACAUGGAUUGAAAGCGGAGCCUCCGGAAUUGGAGACUGCUGGGAGGUGAGCCAAUUCCAGGGAUGGGAGAAAGUCUGAAGUGGUGAUGGGCCAGCCUUCUUUAGCAUCUUGGCCUGGCACAGAGCUGAGCAGGUGCACAGUAUCAGGUCUGAUUGAGCUGCUCAUGCUCAGGCUUCCAACACUCUUAAAGACGUUCUUCUGAGGAACACGUCCUCCACUCUCUAUCCUCCUCAUUUGUACUCCAUGUUAAAAAAGGAAACCAACUCCAAACAAGAAAAAUGUUAAUUAAGAUAGAACUUCAUGAUUCCA
rnacentral:lncRNA from 1 species